GAUGAACGCUGACAGAAUGCUUAACACAUGCAAGUCUUUGGCGAAUCUGUGCUUGCACAGGCUAGCCAAGGCGGACGGGUGAGUAACGCGUAAAGAACUUGCCCUGCAGACAGGGAUAACAGACGGAAACGACUGAUAACACCUGAUACAGUUGCCGGCACGCAUGUGCCUGGCAAUGAAAAGAGAUGCUGCAGGAGAGCUUUGCGUCCUAUUAGCUUGUUGGUGAGGUGACGGCUCACCAAGGCGAUGAUAAGUAGCCGGCCUGAGAGGGUGAACGGCCACAAGGGGACUGAGAUACGGCCCUUACUCCUACGGGAGGCAGCAGUGGGGAAUAUUGGACAAUGGGGGCAACCCUGAUCCAGCAAUUCUGUGUGCACGAAGAAGGUUUUCGGAUUGUAAAGUGCUUUCAGCAGGGAAGAAGAAAGUGACGGUACCUGCAGAAGAAGCGACGGCUAAAUACGUG
rnacentral:rRNA from 1 species